rnacentral:tRNA from 1 species
AAGUUUAAGUUAACAAAACUCAGGACCUUCAAAGCCCUAAAUACGAGGCCCCCCUCAUAACUUCU